CCCGCGACAUCAAGUCAGCAGGAGGCUCCUGGCUGUCUCCAACAGCCGGGCCGAGCGGACGCCGCCCUGCCGGUUGAUGUAGGCGGCUGCCGUCUUGUUGUCUGUCCUCACUAACACAUGCUGGUCUCUCAGCAGGGGAGCGAAGUGUUGCAGCACCUUCAGCACCGUGGACAACGCCUCCCGCCUCGCGGGGGAGAGACUCGCUCUCAUGCUGGACGAGUCCAGAUACAUGAUGCACUGAGUGGGCACUGGCGAGCUCUUUCGCCAAUUUAUGGCAAAGCCCAGCAGCGUCAGGUGACUCGCGAGCUCCACCGUGUGGAGAGCCGCGCUGUGUUCGGUGGAGGCCAGAACCAGCAGGUCGUCCAGGUAAAACAUGACCCUGAUCCCGCGCCUGCGUAACGGUUCCAGUGCCGUCUCCACGCACUUGGAGAACGUGCGUGGAGCCAGAGAAUAACGGAAGGGGAGACGGUUGUAUUGGAACUGGACUCCUCUGAACGAGAAUCGCAGGAAUUUCCUGUGCCUGGGGACGAUUGGGACAUGGAAAUACGCGUCUUUCAAAUCGAUGGAUGCGAACCAGUCGCCGGAGCGCACACAUUCCAAGACAUGCUUUAUGGUGAGCAUGUGGAACGGCCUCCUCAUAAUCGAUCUGUUGACGAGAGACAGGUCGAGAAUGGGUAUCAUUCCGCCUGUCUUCUUCGGAACCAGGAAGUACCGGGAGUAAUAACCCUCGCACUCCUGGCCUGGCGGAACUCUGGAGAUGGCUUCUUUCUCCAAGAGCUCCGACAACUCUGUCAUCAGAGCCUCUGCCCCGGCCUGAGACGACAUCACAGUCUCCAGCACCCCGUCGAAUGGAGGGGGUGGGCUGGCAAACUGCAGUGUGUAGCCGUCUCUUAUCACUCUGCUCAUCCAACCGUUCACGGAGAGCAGAGUGCGCCACACCGAGGAGCGCUCUGAGAGCGGGCGUGCACACAUCUGCGGAGCCUCUGUGGACAUCACCGACAGCCAGUGAAGAGCCCUCGCCGCCGCUCCGUGAGCCGCCUGCGAGCUCAGCGAAGCCCAUGGGAGGGCUGAGUCGAAAGGGCUGGUGCGGGGAGGCCCCCGUGACAUCAGACUCCGCAUCCGAGUCGUGCCACGGAGAGAAACCACCACUAACACACACGGAUGGGUGAGAAGUGGGGAGGCCACAGAGGGGCGACAGGAAGGAACGCAAGGGGGGGAAAUGGGGCCACCUGGGCAGGCUCUUGGCCACAGCCUGGCUGCUGUAGAUAUCCCCCACCAUGGCGCUGGGGGCCAAGGGCAGGCGUGCACAGUAUGGACACGUGGCCCGAGGCGUGAGAGCUACACCGGGCAUGCAGGUCGAAGUUCAUGAUAUAUCCCGCCUGGCAGGAGGGGCAGAGGCGGACAGCGUCGGAGGAGCGAGUCGACAUCUCUAUUUUCACCUUCACUCUUCGCCUGCUGAAGAAAAAGUGGGAGCAGACAUCAGGUCACCAGGUGUUUUAUACUGUGGGAGUGGACCUGAUCAGGGCCCGGUGCACGGCACGGGGCGUAAAAGAACAUCUUCACUACUGCGCAUGCGCGAGGGAUAAACCCAAUAGCGACAGCUCUUAGAGGGCGGGGCCUAUACGAAGUAGAACGAGGGAAGUUCACGUGUUGACGGUGGACGUUGUUCUGAACUCGUCACUGGAGAAGAUGUCGAGUUCAAACCAACUGUGGACACGUUUCUGUCGAGUGUGAGUGAAAUGACCUGCGGCGUCCAGCUACUUUACCUGAUUAGUGUCCGACAUGAACAUGGUCUUUUUCAUUAUUAGUGUUUGUCUUUGACGAAAGUGUGACGACGCCAUGAACAAACAUUUGGGUGAACAUCAGGUGGAACCACGUGGGUCCUGAUGAAGAAGAGGAGAAUAAAGAGUUCACUGCAGAAAAUAUUAAGUGAUGAAAACUGUGGACGGUCGGACGUGACACUGACUCAGAUGUCGACCUGCCUGGACGUGGAUGGACAAAGACCUGGACUCAAACAGGAAGAGAUGACCUGGUGUUGAUGUGGAUCCCUGCUGAGGAGUCGUCACAGCCGAAGAAGAGAAUACUUCACUGCAAAAAUAUGACGGUAAAGUAUGAAUUUAAAACAACGAGUUAUAUUAAAAUAGGUUUUCUAACCUCUGUUCCACCCACAUACUAUUAUCAAGAAAGUAUGUGGAGACAUCAUUCUUUAAAAAUAUAAUUCUUUACAUAAACUAUAACAGCACAGAACAAUUAACAGUAAAAUUAAAAAAUAGUGAACUUGAUUCCUGCAGGAUUUUUUACUAUAAGUAGCAAUUUGUCUAAAAUAUUAUUAUAUAAUAUUAUCUUAUUAUUUUUGAGACCAUAAUUCUGUCUGUAGUAUGAUUGUCAUUUAAUUUCCACUCUUGGUUGUUCUAAUGGUCUUUUGGUCGUUUGUUAUUCUGUUCUAAUAGUCGGUUGUUUGGUUUUGGUUAGUUGGUCUGUCGUUCGUUAUUCUGUUGGUCAUAGGAACAAAUUAAAUAUAAAUCAUAACAAGGGCAGAAUCUUGGUCUUAAAAGGGGGAAAAAUCAUCCGAUGUAGAAGAAUUGUUUAUGUUGUUUCUGUACUUGUGCAUUUCCUCAAUAACUCUUCUCUCUUCCCUCGAGGUAAAUGUUGAACUGACACUGACGUCGACCUUCACCUGGACAAAGACCUGACGUUGGACUUGUUCUGCUUAUUCUUUUAAUUCUAAUAAAAACAAGAUAGAAAAAGAAUCCACACUCUGCCUUCCCUGCUUCCUCUUCCUCAGUUGUAAAACAUUUCCAGUCUGUAACGUGGUCGAUGUCCUCACAUGUUUCAGUAGAGACGAACUGUGAGACCAUGUAACUCAACUGUCUCAUAUUACUGCAACUCACUCCUCUGUGGCAUCAGCUCCAUCAACAGACUCCAACUGGUCCAGAACGCAGCCGCCCGUCAUCACCCCGAUCCUGAAACAACUCCACUGGCUCCGUCUCCCACCGAAUUACCUUCAAGAUUGAGGAGGAUCUGGAGGCAGACCGCAGACGACACAAGAUGGCGCCAGUGAGUCGACUUCUUCAACAACGACUGAACAAACACUGACAUGAUAAAUUCAAUAUUCAGGUGGACAAAGAGGAGACAUGACUGCAGAAAGGCAGCAGAGUGCGUCGAGACAAACCAUCAGCCAGUUCCCAGUGAACUGGAUCUGGGGGAAACGGAGGUGUCUCAGGCUGUGAAAAACUGGAUGUCAAGUAGACAUCUUCGAGUUCUCUUUGUGCAUAAAGUUAAGUCAAAUAUUUGUAGUUCAUACUUUACCUUGAGCACGGUACUCCCUGGAGGCGGCACAGUGAGAACUGAGACUCCAUGGCUCACACCUCCCGUCCGCCAGCAGCGCGCAGACCAACAGUCCUUACCUUCUAAAUAUGAAUCAAUUGUUCAGACAAGACUAGUUGAAGUCUGAGGUGCUCGGAGCAGCUAAUCCCCGAGCUGUGAUGUCACACUGAAGGGCACGUUCGUCCCUCUGGAAAAGAAGUAAUCGACCUUGACCCCAGGGGACUACAGACCGCGUGAGACGGCUUCACAAUCCUGAGACUCUGAAUCCAGCUGUGCUCCCGAGACUAAUUAUGACCUUUUCUUUCAUUACAAUUAUCAAAAUGAGGCGAGAACCUAAUCAUAUUACAACCAGAUAUCGUGUGUGUGUGUGUGUGUGUGUUCCAUGACUAACUGAAAAGCUCGGUCUAACGCUCCUGUGCCGUGCGUGUGGAUUAACUGUAUGAACAAGCGAGGCCACUGGUGUGCGACUUGUUGUCACUGUGGCAGCACCAGUGAUCAUGACAAUCAACUUAAUGAUGAUGAGUUAUGAGAAUACAGUCUGUUGGUGUGGUGCAGCUAUGAGGCCAUCACGCGUAUUGAUUGAUUUUCUCUGCUCCUGUUUUGUAAGAUUGUAAAACCGGCACAGAUUUCCAUACGUUCCCUUUUCUCAUUCCUCCGCUGACCUUCGGGGUUCUCUUAGCAUUUCUAAAGGUGCGUUCACCCACAACGUGGAGCGAAUCUUGAUGAUAUCCGUUUGAAAUCAACUUGUGGACCAAACUCAUGUUAGCUCUAAACUAGCAGGGAUGUGCACAUAUUUUAUAUUUAAUCUGUGUUCACCGUGUGCACAAGUGCGAGCGCUAAAAUUCUCUUCACACACACGACGUCUUUGGCUUUGGUUUUGUGUGUGCGAGAAGAAAUGGUUAUUUUUUGCCAUCUCACGCAAUUUAGAGGUGGAACGCAAUGUUAUAUGUUCUGUGCUGCCACAAAAUGUAUCUAGGCUUAGAUUUAUACUGUAUAUCUCUGUAUGUUUCCCUUCAUUUUUCAAUAGAUUAUCAUGUUAAACCAUCAAAUAAAGGAUAUACAUUGUACCUGUGGAUUUGACAAGCUGCAAACGCUGCACGACUACAAGGCAGACGAAUGCAAUUCAUUGCAGUUUAGAACUUGGGAUAAAUACAUUUGAAGACUUGGACGAGAUGUCAAGCCCCAGUGUGAUGAGGUCAUUCUCUGGCGGCAUCUGGUGGUGAAGUUGCAAACUGCAGCCAACUGAGCACAACUUUCAUAAAUGAGGGUUGUGUGAGUAUGUAUCCCAUCUUCACCACUCAGGUGAAGAAAUGGUGAAUCCAACAACUCGUUACAGACUAAGGAUAAAGUAGAGUCAGUGUCACAACUAAUAUUCAUCUUUAUCUUCAUUUGUUUUGCAGUUUUUUGACUCUUCCUCCUGAUCAUCAAAUCAACCUUUAACGGGACAAAUCGGGGGAAUCCGCCUUUAAUUAAUUAGCAGCUGGUGGUACCUGAUUACAGUGGCAGCACCUGGGCCGACUCGGGCAGCCAAUCAGCGUCCGCCCUGCGCACUGAUAUAGUUUGGGCAGCUCGCGGCGCGAGCGCAUAGGAAACGAACCGAGACACGAGAAGACACGGGUCGAGACGAGUCCAGACGAGUAGACACGAAGAUACGAGAAGACACGAGUCGUCACGAGUCCGGUUCACGGUUCAACACGUUGAACGUUGUGAACCUCGUUACUGCACAAGUUGUCAAGUUACAACGAACUGUGGAGACGAUUUGUGUCGAGUGAGUGAAACGACCGGACGAGACCUCACCUGCGGCGUCCAGGUGAAUGUUGAACUGUGUGGAAGAAGAUGAUCAGACAGACACGGACUCAGUGAUGUGGACCUGCCUGGCCCUUCUCCUGGGCCCUUCACCUGGGCCCUUCACCUGGGCCCUUCACCUGGGUUCAUAUCAAGGAUGAAUCGCUCCUGAACGUUGAGGAAGAGAUGAUCUGGACAAAGGGGCGGAGCCAGGGAUGUUUUAUUUCUUUCUUUAACAUUUUUUAACAUGAUUCAGAGAAUAAUUCAUGGAUUUUGAUGAAUGAGACCAAACAAUG